rnacentral:lncRNA from 1 species
AUUCCUCCUCCUCAUGAUCGCCGUAGUCGAAGAAGAAGAAUCGCGAUUUUCAUCCGAGUGAUCAGAACGUGAAAUUUCACAAAAUCGGGAACUCAUUGAAGUUUCUAGAAGCUCCGAUCCUUUGAGAACGUAAUCGUGACCGUUCGUUGGAUGAAUCAAUUCGUUCUCCGAUAAAUCGUGCCACACGUAUCCAUUUUUAUAGCUCCUGUAAAAAAUCAUCAAAUUUUAUACAUAAAAUUGCAAAUAAAACAAAAAAUAAUCGUUUAUUUUAUCUGAAAUAUAAUUUUUUUUUUUUGCAGAAACUAAAGUACCGCUUGCAAGACCAGGAGAACAAAUAAGCCAUGCCUUUUCCUCUCAGUAAGUUCAACCGAUUUAGCACAUCUGAGAAUAAGAGCAAAUAAAAAAUCAACAAUCAAUAUAGUGUUAUAUUUGAAAAUUCUUUAAUUUUAACACACUGAAAAUUCCAUAAAUCGCAGUCAAUAUAGUGUUAUAUCAAUUACCUAUGAGAUAGAGUCCAUCAGAGGAAGAGAACGGAACUUCAAUGAAAUGAGGAUGCUCAAGUUGGCCAUUUCUGCACAGAUAAUAAAUAACAGGGACAGUUUUGAAAGCCUUAGGUU